GACGAACCGUGCGAACGUUGUUCGGAAUCACUGGGCAUAAAGGGCGCGUAGGCGGCUUGUCAAGUCAGGGGUGAAAUCCGGCAGCUUAACUGUCGAAGUGCCUUUGAUACUGAUGAGCUCGAGGGAGGUAGGGGUAUGUGGAACUUCCGGUGGAGCGGUGAAAUGCGUUGAUAUCGGAAGGAACGCCGGUGGCGAAAGCGACGUACUGGACCUCUUCUGACGCUGAGGCGCGAAAGCUAGGGGAGCAAACGGG
rnacentral:rRNA from 1 species